UUUUAAUUGUAAGGUCGCAGUGAGGUCAAUCCACAAAAGACACCCGUGGUCUAAAGCUGCCAUGAAUAAGCCAAAACUCACAGGGGCUUGGCUUUUGGAGGGAUCAAUGCUCUAAUCCACUGAAACUUAGAAGAGUGACCCUGGUUGGUCUUUUGGCACCAAGCGGGCGGAGAGAGCCGGACUCGCUGGCUGGCAGCCAAUUUGCUUCAUAGAUGAAGAGCGGAUGGGUGCCAAGGAGCUGGCUGCUGCUGUUGUCUGAGCCGUGUUUCAUGUAGGCUCCAAAAUGCACCGUUUCUCUACGCCGCCGAGCAGCAAAAAGAAAUACCAUAGCAGACACACAGCCAUGAACCCUCCACUUAUAUUUUGUAUGUUGUAAAGAGAUGAGGCGCAGUGAAUGGAUUCACAAAUGCUGCAGGUGGAACACGGCAGCGAGCGGAAACCGGAAAAAGGAGGCUACAAAGACCUUGCUGACAGUCGCUUUUUGAAUUGCUCUUAACAGGGGGGCCAUUUAAAUCAAGUCUUUUUUUGUACAUGACCUAAUUAUGCCCCUAUUUCCCUUCCGCCUGUGACUACUGUGUUGAAGCUUGGUCAGCAAGAAGUGGAUGUUCAACUGGCCAAGCCACCUUAUGACAGAUAACAUCUUAACCCACCCCAGUCUCAAUCUGCUGCCAUUUCCUUGUUCCUUGCAAUACCUCUAGAUUCGUCCCGAUGACCUUAUCUACAUUUCUAUUAGCCUCGGGCCAUCGUUGCUAAUUGGACGCACCAUGGAGUCCUCUCGGGGCCCACUCCGGCUUCAGCAAAAGUUUCACACUGCCCUGGUCUGUCUGCUGCUGGAUUUGUCACCCAACACUCUUUUCACUGUUGAGGAUUAUGAAAGGAAGAGUGAAGGGUUCAGGCUGGCUGGGUAGAGCCGGGGCGAUAUCUUCCCUCAGUUUUUUUAUUUUUCGUUUUGGUCGUGACAAGGAGUUGGAUUUCUGCGUUCGACAUCAUUGUUUCACAUAAUUAGAAAAGGGGGAGAAAGUUUAUGCCAGGUGGUUAUCAAUGUGGAUGAUGGCCAAACAGAUGAAGGGGUGUACUAUUUAUCUCCCUGAGCUAGAGCAAUGUAAAUUAUUUCAGAAAUCGGAUGACUUUACUGCAACUAAUAACAGCAGGGAAAAGAGAUGCAGGCUUUGUCCCAGAUGAUAGGCUUACAGCCACUAAAGGAAUAUUACACCAUAAUAAUCAUGUUUAGUUUUACAUGAAAUCAAUAAACAUCACACGCUGCUUAUAAAUAGCUUUGCCUUUGUCUCUGAUGAAACCUCUAGGGCAUGUAUUUUCAUCAUCAUUGAUUUUGCCUAAAACUGUGUUGCACGAUUAGUGCAUAUCACUAGUUCAUGACAACAUAAUUUGACUCAAAGAUAAACUAUUAUAUUGAAUAUGUGCCCAGUCCUUAUGCUAAUGAACCUUCAGUAGUAUAUUCAACUUUUUUUGCCGGGGCAGCCAUAUUACUUGCUUAUGAUCGGAUUAAGUUGUUUGAAUGUGUGAACAUUUUGAAUUCAGUGAGACGGUCUCCAGCCAACUUGCAGAGAAUGCCCUUCCGAGCUGCCCUCUAUUACAAUUGAAUCUUGGAGACAUUUACGCAAGGGGGAUAGGGAUUUAAAGCCACACUUUUGGGCAAGCUAGAAGGGGAAGAUUCAGAGAUACAAGCCAAUGACAAUGACACAGGACUAAGCUUUGCUCAAAGUUUCUUCCGGCGCAGAUAUCAGAUUGAUAUUUUAAACAUUGGUGCAUUGGAACCACCUGAUUUAUCCUGUUUUGGGCAAGUCUUAGUCAGGGUAUGAUUGAAAAUGAAUGAUUAUAAAGCAUACCAAAAAUGUUAUCAAAAUUUUGGGUUAAACAAAUGUAUAGGUUACGAGCACAUUCAAUAUCUUAAACACGUCUUAUGCCGAAUGUUUUAGGGGACUUGGAAUUUUUUAUACAGAAGUAACAUUUCUAUGUUAAACAAUGGUGAAUAAGUUAAUGCAAAGCUUUGGUAUGUUUUGAGUUGGCCCUUUGUUUACUCUGAUAUAACUCUUUUGCUUGUCGUCAUGUAUGUCUUGUUAGCGGUUCCUCCACUAGAUGGCACAGUAUCGUCUUAGCAAACAGCAACAGCAGUGCAAUGGGAGGCUUUCCUCAUGACCAGCAUGCCUUGACUGAACAUUUAUCUUAGGAUGUUUCAAACACUUGCUGCAGCAGAUGAGUCCAACGCUAACCCUAACCCUAAUCUGAUUCACAUGAGACCUUCGACCUUGCAUUUCUAAAGACAGGCCAAAUCGAUGGCAUCAUGGCUAAAAUGCCUGAUAUCAUAUAUCUAAAAACCUUUAGACGUUUGGUUACGCUUUUUUAAUAGGUUAAUCUCUAACAGAUCUGAUAUUUAGGUGUGGGCAGUUUCAGCAUAUCGUUGAUAUUCAUGAGGUGGACUAAGUGUGACAUGUACAAUCUAGGUUAAACGCAGGUUCGGGGCGGAGGAGCUAUAUGAAUAACUACAGACUCAACAGUCAACCUAGCAGUGGUGUGUGUCCCAAUUGAAUGAAUUGAUCCAAUAUUUAUCCAAUAAUUGUGUGGAUAGUGUGUAAUGUAUCUGUGGUCUUCCCACGGGGCUGGGUAAGAGAGACACUGAGCUGGAGGGGGAGGGGUCUUUCACAAAUGCAACAAAAGAAAAACUGAAAUGUAAUGUAAACCUAUAUGCAAAAACAGGUCAUUUGAUUAAAAUAAUGUCCUACAUCAAAACCUGUCACCCCUGCUAUGCCCCUGGUGUUUAUGGAGAUGGGCGCUCUACCAUAGAGAGCCA